rnacentral:misc_RNA from 1 species
UCGCUCAUCGCGGUUGUUCCGAGGUGGACUUGGGGUUUCUCAGCUCAGGGCGGGAUACCAGAUAGCAUAUAUACCCUCUUCACGACCUGUCAGCCAAGCUGGCGCCCGUACGGCGCAACUCGGGGUCGAGGCGUUCUUCGCUCGACA